GCAAUAAUUUUGAAGAGCAGAAAAUGCAGCACAAGAAUCUCCCAGAAACAUGAUGAUGCUUGAUCUGAUCUGUCGCCUCUGCCUGCUUCCCAUGAUUUUUCCCACAGUUGUAAAAGGUCUUUGAAUGUCCGGGACACUUACAAGUUGAUAAAAAAAAGCCUCUCAGCUUUAACAUCAGGCAAGGCUGCAGCCCUGGUGGGACACAAGGCUGGAUGAGUUGGUUGAUGGAAAUUCAUGAAGGGAUUUGUGAGACAAAGUCACGACGAAUAAUAAC